rnacentral:lncRNA from 10 species
GGCGGAGAGAGCCCUGAGUCAGAAUCCACACCAUGACACUCACUGUGGUGAUGACAGCAGGCACAUUCCGAUAGGGACAAUAUUGAUCAGUUCAGUAGUUCCUGACCUGUCUGGCUGCAGAGUUGAAUCUCCUAGAGCCUUAAAAAGAAAACAAAAAACGAUGCUGGACCCCACUGCAGGCUGAUGGAAUCCAGUGGGAGCCUGACGCUGCCCGGGUGACUGAUGGCCAGGCAGGACCGAGGACCGCGGGAUUGCACUCGGUAGAGGACCCCCUCCCCUAGUGCCUUCGGCCGUCCCCACAGCCGUGCUGAGCUUCAUGAGGUUUCAGGGGAGGUUGAAGACCAUGCUCUGGAUGUGAAGUCAUUCGGCCUGGACUCUGGUCCCGGCUCAGCUGCUCCUGCAUCCCCCCAGUUCCCAGGGCCCCCAUUUGCCCAUCUGGAGACAGGGCCUUGCCCUUCCCAGGCAGGACUGCAGGUGAGUGUGUGGACUGGCACCUGGCUGGCCCACUGGGGUCCCCUCAACUCUGAGUGGGGUACAUCAGUGACUGCUGUGGGUGCCUGCCCAGGUCCCUUCACCAGCCCAUGAUGCAGAUCCCAGCUGCUAUGGGAGAGUUGGCUGCUGAGGCUCACUGCUGCCUGCUUCUCUGAAGAAUUGUCCUGUCUGACCAGCUGGGAGAUUAUCCCCUCCCAGAUGCCCAUUCCCCAACUUCAUCCCCAUUCCCCAAAACCAAUGUCUGACCCAGGGUAGCAGAGCUGGCCCCUUUGCCUUCAGGUGGGACGGACCAAUCCCAUGGUGCUCCCAAGCUCCUUGGGAUCCAGCUGAAGCUAGAGGCCACAUCUUUGCCUUGGUUUCUCCCUGGCCCCAUCCCGCUUCCCUCACUGCCCUGCUCCUGAGAACACUCCCCAAUAAACCACAUUCACUGGGUCCCCUCCCAGGCUCUGCUUCUAGGACAGCAGGCACGACCUAUAAGAACUCUAGGGCCCUGUGGCUCCAGGAGCACCUGACCCUGAUCCGGCGAUGAAGCAGAUCAAGGCACGAGUUGUCCUUGGCUGCAGGAGCUCAGAGUGGGUGAGGGAAGUGUGGCAGCUCAGGAGCCUGAGCUAGGGGCAUUGAUCUGUGCAGGGGAGGCAGGCUGGAGGAGCAGCUAUCCAGCCUCGCUCACCCUUCCCCCGGCCCCCACCCUGAGCCUGGCCCCUGGGAGGCACAUGUUAUUAGUCCUGUCUUACAGGGGUGGCCGCCGAGACCAGAUAGUCACUAAGUCUCUAAACCGUAGGUGACCCAGUAAAUUGAGUGCCUUUGCUGGAUUCCAGUGCCUGUGUCUUGCUCAUUGCCCCUGAGUAGUUGCACAGUGUCUGCCCUGGAGGCAUUGGCAGAAGCCGGGCCCUUGGCAGGAAGGAACUGGGGGAAAACUGAGUACUGGGUCUCCCCUGGUGUGGGGAAAGGGCCUGACCGCGUUAGAAUGGCUGGAGCAGCUGACCCGACCCAUCUGGCGGGCAGCUGGAUUGGGAAGUUGGGGAGCAAGCUUCCUGCAGAGCUUCUUUCCCUUUUCCUGCCAGGAGAAAGGGGUCUUACAACUUCCCAUCCUCAUGCUGACUCUACCCUUCCCUGAAUGUGCAUGGGUGGGUGGCUCAGUGUUGAACACAAAGGCAGGGGUACAAUGGGG